rnacentral:tRNA from 1 species
UUUAUAAUAGUUAAAAUGAAAUAACUACAGACUUAAAAUCUGGAAGUGGAGGUUUAAGCCCCCCUUAUAAUU